GCUCGCAGGUGUUCGCUGGCGCCCGGAUGUCUGAGCUCUGGCUCCGCUCUGGCUCCGGCUCCCUCCGCAGCCUGCGGGCGGGGCUCGCAGCCCAUCCGGAGCCUCGCGGCGCCCCCGCCGCUCCGCCAGCAGCGCGGCCUCCCGGUUCCCAGCCUCGCGGCCUGGGGGGCCCCCCACCCAGCGGAGUCGCUGACCCCACUCCUCUCCCGCUGCCCCCAGCUGCGCUCGGGCCGCUGCAGCCUCUGCGCACCCCCACCCGCUUCCUGCCCCGUCCGCGAGGCCGCCCUGGAUCGCACCCGGUUCCUUCCUUCCUUCGUUCUUUCAGGCAACUCGCAUUCCUCGAGCGCCUGCGACGUGCCCUGCACAGGGCCUUCCCGGCCUUCCGAGUGUGGCCCCAGGCCCGCUGGGCUCCUCCGGGAAGCCUCUGCCCUCUCGAAGUCCUUCCCCACCUCCGCCCCUCUGUUCCAUGAGGUGCUUCGCUGAGAGUCGAGCAAUUUAAUUGUUCUCUGAUUAGUUCUCCUCUUAGGGGUCAGUCAGUGGCAAGGUCACGGAGUCUCUUUGUGGCUGAGAUCGGGGGUCAGAGCGUGGCCGGAUUUGGGGUUUCGCCAGCCUGGGGCAGGCUUUAGGGAUAAAUGUGGGUAGUCAGGCUGUGGGGGUCCGUCUGUGGGCAGUGUCAAAAGCCAAGCUGUUUUGAAACUUCAUGCAAACCGGUGGGUGCUGCAGAAUUGGCCUCUUCCAGCCACAGCAGUAAUCCUGUUACGUUCUCUCUGUGAGUCUGGGAAACAUACAGACACUGGUUGAAACUUCAGCUUUGUCAUUUACCAGCUGUGCUAUCACAGGCUGGUCUGAAACUCCUGGGCUCAAGCAGUUCUCCCACAUUGGCUUCCCAAAGUGCUGGGAUUACAGGUCUGAACCACCGAACCGGGCCACAGAGUGGCAAUGUGGUUGGCAUGACCCAGUCACAGCACCCCGGGACUCUUGUCCAGCAUUGGCGCUCUAUAUGCAGAGCCCUUUCACUCAGCCUGGCAGCAUCUGAUCAGCGUCGAAGCCCAGUGGCUUGAGGAAUAAAUAUAAACAGUGCAGAGACUAAAAGCAGAGCUCUGGUCCAGCACAUCUACUCCCAAGCUCUGCCACCCUGGACAAGCUCCUUCCCCUCUCUGAGCCUCAGUCUCCUCCCUGUAAUACUGUAAGAACCCUGUCCACAGUUGUGUGCCGAUAUACUGAAUGUAAAGCACCUAAAAGCCUGCCAGGACGUGGCAGGCACUCAAGAAGCAUUACUAGAUUCAUUUCACACAUGGAGAAACUGAGUCCCAGAGUGGGAAAGUGACUCAGGCAAAGAUUCCCUCACAGAACUGGGGAUAAAAAUCCAGAUCUUCAAGCUCCCAGUCAGUGCCUAAUUACUACUUUCUCAUUCUUGGAAUUUGUAAUUAUUUCAUGACAAGUGUGCUUUUGGCUGCUGGAGGGACAGAGCUUCAGAGGUUGUGAGCCUCCCCUGGCUCAGCCUGACCCAGAACCAGCUCACUCAUGAAACUACCCUCUCUUGAAGAGAAUAGGAGUUGUGGGGAGGAAGAACAUAACCCAGAGGCCAGAGAACGUGGAGGCCAGGGUUGGUGUAACUGUGUAGGCUCUUCCACAUACUAGCUGUGUGAACUUGGACAAGUGACUUAACUUCUCUUCUCCGUGUCUGCUAACAGUCCCUACACAGAUGGUUGUUGUGAGGCUUAGUUACCAUACAAAAUUCUUAGAUUAGUGCCUGGCACAUAAUAAUAACCACAGCCCCCAAAUGCUAGUUGUCAUUCAUUAUCUUAACAUACCAUGUGAAGGUUGUGUUCUCUUACAUUCUAUAGCCCUCUGUGUUUUAAUAUAAAAUUGUGAUGUCUCUCUUUCUUUUAUUUGUAUUUUUUGAGUAAAACGGACAUUUCAGAAAGAUGUACCAGAUUUUUAUCACAUGGCUUUGUGAGACCCGACAGCCAGCCAACAUCACACACAGUCACAUGUGUGCAUGCAUGAGCACACAUGCAUGCAGACACACACACUUUGAGAAGGCCAUGCUACGCCGGGCUGCUUCCCAAAUGGGCUGAAACAAGUCCUCUUGCCCUGAAGAACCGCCUGUCCCCUCUCCCGCCCACUCAUCGCGCUCCGUGGAGUGAGGCAGGAAAGGGUGAUUGGCUCACAGCAGCAGCAUAGCUCUUAGUAAACCUGACUUGGGAGAAAGGCCUGGCUCCAGCUCCUAGCCCAAGUGUCAGAGCCUGGGUCCCAGCACUGGCUCGAUGCCCUCUUUUGCUGUGCAACCCUGGCCAUGUAACUUCACCUCUCUGAGCCCCAGCUUUGUCAUUUGUGAAAGGGAGCUAACUGUUCCUACCUCUCAGGGUUAUGAGGAUUUGACAGACACAUGGAAAGUGCCUGGCACUUCGUUGUUGCUCCAUAAAUGAGAGCUCUCAAAAGUCUGGCUCAUUUUUUAGCUCAGUAAAAGCUAUCUUUCAUAGUCUUUAAUAAAAUGGGGCUGGCCGGGCGUGGUGGCUCACGCCUGUAAUCCCAGCACUUUGGGAGGCUGAGGUGGGUGGAUCACGAGGU
rnacentral:lncRNA from 1 species